CCUACGGGAGGCAGCAGUCGAGAAUCAUUCACAAUGGGGGAAACCCUGAUGGUGCGACGCCGCGUGGGGGAAUGAAGGUCUUCGGAUUGUAAACCCCUGUCAUGUGGGAGCAAAUUAAAAAGAUAGUACCACAAGAGGAAGAGACGGCUAACUCUGUGCCAGCAGCCGCGGUAAUACAGAGGUCUCAAGCGUUGUUCGGAAUCACUGGGCGUAAAGCGUGCGUAGGCUGUUUCGUAAGUCGUGUGUGAAAGGCGCGGGCUCAACCCGCGGACGGCACAUGAUACUGCGAGACUAGAGUAAUGGAAGGGGAACCGGAAUUCUCGGUGUAGCAGUGAAAUGCGGAGAUAUCGAGAGGAACAAUCGUGGCGAAGGCGGGUUCCUGGACAUUAACUGACGCUGAGGCACGAAGGCCAGGGGAGCGAAAGGGAAUAGAUACCCCGGUAGUC
rnacentral:rRNA from 1 species